UACGUAGGGCGCAAGCGUUGUCCGGAAUUAUUGGGCGUAAAGAGCUCGUAGGCGGUUUGUCGCGUCUGCUGUGAAAACCUAAGGCUCAACCUUGGGCUUGCAGUGGGUACGGGCAGACUAGAGUGCGGUAGGGGUGACUGGAAUUCCUGGUGUAGCGGUGAAAUGCGCAGACUAUCAGGAGGAACACCGAUGGCGAAGGCAGGUCUCGUGGGCCGAUGACUGACGUGGAGGAAGCGAAAGCGUCGGGGAGUGAACAGG
rnacentral:rRNA from 1 species